rnacentral:sRNA from 1 species
UGUAUUUCUGUUUGGAGUUGUAACGAUCAUGACAUUGAUGAUUAAU